rnacentral:rRNA from 1 species
ACGACGAACGUACGUACCUGGUCUUGACAUCCCGGAGACCCUUAGGAAACUAGGGGGUGCUUCCAUCUGGAAGAAUCUGGAGACAGGUGCUGCAUGGCUGUCGUCAGCUCGUGUCGUGAGAUGUUGGGUUAAGUCCCGCAACGAGCGCAACCCUUGCCUUUAGUUGCCAGCAGUUCGGCUGGGCACUCUAAAGGGACUGCCGGUGUUAAACCGGAGGAAGGUGGGGAUGACGUCAAGUCCUCAUGGCCUUUAUGACCAGGGCUACACACGUACUACAAUGGCCGAUACAAAGGGCAGCGACACUGCGAGGUGAAGCCAAUCCCGUAAAAUCGGUCUCAGUCCGGAUUGGAGUCUGCAACUCGACUCCAUGAAGUUGGAAUCGCUAGUAAUCGUGGAUCAGCAUGCCACGGUGAAUACGUUCCCGGGCCUU